GUAGAGUGGAGCUCCACAGGAAACACGUGACCUCUACCGGAAACUACCACUCUGUUAGCGAAAAGAGAGAGUCUGGAGCAAGUCUGCGAAUCUGAAUUAUGGGAAGGUUUUUGCACACUGGACAAAGGAAUCAGAGGCUGUGCUGAAAGGUGAACAUGCACCUGUAUUCAGACUAAGAAAGCGCAAGUCUGUGGAACUCAGUCUGAAGCCAGCAAUCAUCUCUGAUCUACACGUUGCUAUGGAGUGGAUUGAGGGGAAUGAGGCUCUAUUCUGUGGGCAAAUAACCUUUCCCAAAUAUGUGACCAUGACGGAAGAGCACCGCCAGGAGGCCCUAAGGGAUGUGCUGGAUGGAGACAAGAUAGAAUCCAAGGAGCCAUUCCUCUUUGGUUUUCAGAUCCGAGAGGACAUGGAAUUAUUUUUACAGGCCUGUGUUGACCAGCGGGGCCUCCGGGUUAAUGCUGUCUGUUAUGAGAAAGAUUAAAUUACUGGCACAUGA